GUGGAAGUCUUUUACCUAAAUCAGGAUGAUUAGCUAUCAGGUAGAAAUAGCCAAAUUCUUUUGUACAUUUAGUUAAGUUGAUAAUAAUAAUUUUUAAUUUAGCAAUUCAUUCCUUGUUCUCUUCUCUGUUUCUUUCUCUUUUUAUUUUUCAAUAUCAUUUAUAUGGUAUCAGUGAGUCAAAAGAUUCAUGGGCGAUGCUAUUAAUGAUCCCACACUCACUAACACUCCGGCAGUCACCACCACUGUUGCUGUUCUAGUAACAAAAUUCUUCGUUGUUCCUCUAUCUGAAAAGCUCUCCAAUAAAAACUUCUUCACAUGGAGUCAUCUUGCAACCUUAACAAUUUGUCGCCAAGAACUCUAGGAUCAUCUUGACAAAGAAAAGAUUCCACAACAGUAUACAAUUCUAGCAAAUCACUACAAAAAAAGAAGUUUAAAAUGGCAAUUUAUAGUGUUGCCAUAAUUAAUUUUUAUAAAAUAACAUUUUUAAUGAUUCAGGCAGUUUUAACAGCCAUAAUCGAAACCCAUCAUUAAAAAAAAAUGCCCAAAUAAAACCCUCUCCAACAACGGAAAACCCUAAUCCAAAAACCCAUUACUAUUGAAACCAUAGCGUGCUGCCACCAAAACCAAAAACGAAGACUUGUGCUCUGCUCCGGCGACAAUAUGCUCCAGCGACUGCUCCGGUGAUAAUCUGCUCCAGCGACUGCUCCAGUGAUAAUCUGCUCCAGCGACUAAUCCGGCGAUGAUCUUCUCAGUGGUGUUAUCCUCCAACGAGAUUGUGUGCUCUCUCCAGCGAUGAUCUCCUUUAGCAGGUUCUCCUUCGGCGGCGCGUUCUACUCCGGCUACAAUCUUCGUUUGCAGAAAUUUCAUAAAACUACGAGAUCUGUUGCGCAAGUGUUUCCUCCAACGAUCUUCUCCAGCGGCGAUCUCCUGCAUUAACGCUUCUCUUCCAUUGAUGAGAUCUGUUGUGCAAGCGUUUCCUGCGGCAUCGAGUUGUGUUCUGCGAUUUCUCCAUAUCCAUCGAGCUUCGUUGAGCAUCUAGGUUUUUUAUUUUCUUCUUUGUCAGACGAAAUUGGAGCAUUCUUGGCGGCAGUCAUGGUGUGCCUCAAGUACAUUACAAGGGCAGGCAAGGUGACUAUUAUAUUAUGGUUAUGAAUAUGCUGGGUCCGAGCUUGUGGGACAUCUGGAAUAACAACUCCCACAGGUAAGUGCCACAUCACUAUUUGUAUGAAGCUGAAUUACUGUGUUAUAAGAUGGGAUGAGCUUGUCAAGAGAGAUGCCUCUUUUUCAAAAGGGUGAUAUUAAUUUGUUUAGGACAGAACAUUGGAAACAAAGACAACAACUGAUAAGUUGAAUAAAUUCUGGAAAAUUUAACCAUAUUUGUUUGGGUCGGUUUUUACUGUUUUGCCUAUGAUAUUCUGCUUAAUAUGCAGAAUGUAUUUCUUGUAGGUGGUACGAUCUAUUGUGCCCUUGUUAAAUGAGGUGUUAAAUCCAAAAUUAUUGACACUUCUCCCGUGUAUUUUUAAAUGCAUUCAGCAUUCUCAUGUUGCAGUUAGAUUAGCUGCUUCACGCUGCAUCACUUCCAUGGCUCGGUCAAUGACUGUGAAAGUUAUGAGUGCUGUGGUUGAAAAUGCUAUCCCAGUGUUGGAAGAUGCAUCAUCAGUUCAUGCUCGUCAAGGAGCAGGCAUGUUGAUUAAUUUUCUUGUUCAGGGCCUGGGGGUAGAGUUGGUCCCUUACGCUCCAUUGUUGGUAGUUCCACUUCUAAGGUGCAUGAGUUACUGUGAUCAGUCUGUCAGGCAGAGUGUGACCCAUAGUUUUGCUACUCUUGUGCCUUUACUUCCUUUGGCACGAGGCCUUCCUCAACCACAUUGAGAAGGUACCAACAAGAAGGCAUAAAUUGGUUAGCUUUUUUGAAACGUUUCAAGCUUCAUGGAAUUUUAUGUGAUGACAUGGGGCUUGGUAAGACGCUUCAUGCAUCGGCUAUAUGGCCUCUGAUAUCACUGAGCAUCGAACUCAGUCUGGGAAUGGAGAUCUUCUACCAUCUUUGAUUAUUUGCCCAUCAACCCUAGUUGGACACUGGGCCUUUGAGAUAGAGAAAUAUAUUGAUGUUUCAGUUAUAUCUUGUCUUCAGUACGUUGGUUCUGCUCAGGACUGAAUGAUUCUUCGAGAUCAUUUUUGCAAGCAUAAUGUCAUUAUAACAUCAUAUGAUGUUGUCCGUAAAGACAUCGAUUAUUUGGGACAGCUUCUGUGGAAUUACUGUAUUUUAGAUGAAAGGCAUAUAAUCAAGAAUGCUAAGUCCAAAGUUACACUUGCUGUAAAGCAGUUAAAAGCCCAACACCACUUGAUAUUGAGUGGGACUCCAAUACAGAAUAACAUCAUGGACUUGUGGUCCCUUUUUGAUUUUCUAAUGCCUGGAUUUCUUGGAACAUAGAGACAGGUAAAGUCUUGUUUUCCUUUCCUCAUACUAAUUAUUACUUCUGCUCUACUGAUUUGGGACGAAAAGAAUUUGAAGAGGCUUAAAAGCAGUGGAAAGUCAAAGAAAGUUCUUUGAAGACUAGGAAUUUUGGUGGGUUAGUUUUUCAAGCUCAUGCCAAUGCUAUCAGAAAUGUUAUGAUGCCAGAAGUCAACUUUUUAACUUACAGCUCAUGUCCUUCGAGCUCCUUUUUUCUUUUUUUUUUGUGCAUGUCUAUGCUAAUACUUCUCAAAGUAAUAAUUAGUGGAUAUGAUUUGCUUAAUUAUUUGUAUAGAAGUUAUUACUUUUGAUUUCUAAUACUAAAAAACUAUAUAUUAUGUUUGAUACUUUAUUU